rnacentral:rRNA from 1 species
CCCUUAGAUGUCCGGGGCCGCACGCGCGCUACACUGAAGGAAUCAGCGUGGCUUUCUCCCUGACCCGAAAGGGUUGGGAAACCCGUUGAAUCUCCUUCGUGAUAGGGAUUGGGGCUUGAAAUUGUUCCCCAUGAACGAGGAAUUCCCAGUAAGCGCGAGUCAUAAGCUCGCGUUGAUUACGUCCCUGCCCUUUGUACACACCGCCCGUCGCUACUACCGAUUGAACGGUUUAGUGAGGGCCUCGGAUUGGUCUCGGCCCGCACUUCACCGGGCGGCGCCGUUGGUCGAGAAGACGCUCGAACUUGAUCGUUUAGAGGAAGUAAAAGUCGUAACA